GGGCCCCAGGAAAGACAGUGCCCAAGCUUGCCCAACUGGGCAGAGGGAUCCUCCUCCUCCUGUCAUCACUGGAAUGAAUCUGUGCAAUGUUUAUGAGAGGCACUGAAUCAGCAUGGAGGAAGCAUGGCAGUGAGGGUUCAGUUUCAUCAAGGCAAGGCUAGGACAAUAGCCUUCGUAUCACAAACCGACGUUAAUCAUCCUGAGUGACAGCAGCGGCGCAGGGACGAAAAAAGGGCGAGAGCUUGAACCGUUUGUGGCGGUUUAAACCAAUCGCUUGGAAUCAGACAAUGUCAGUUCAGUUUACUACACGUUUUAAUGUCAGUAGUCAACGCUGCUAUUAACAGCUGGACUUCAAAGUUCAGAUGGAGCAGGAGUCUUGAGGACAGAGAAGCCAACCUCAAGCACUGUGCCUGAUUGGCACUACCUGAUUUCCACAGUUUUGAAAAUCCCAUGGAAAAUCUGUAUUAAAAUGACCUUCUCCUGGGAAAGAAAACAGCAGAGAAUUAAAGUCAUGUUUAAUAUUGAGAUUUUAAACAAGCUUGAGUGCUUUUCACAGAACACACUAUUAACUCGUGGAACUCAUUGCCUCAGGAUUUUAUGGAGGCUGGAAAUAA